CCUACGGGAGGCAGCAGUGAGGAAUAUUGGUCAAUGGACGAGAGUCUGAACCAGCCAAGCAGCGUGAAGGAUGACUGCCCUAUGGGUUGUAAACUUCUUUUAUAUGGGAAUAAAAUGUUCCACGUGUCGGAUUGUGUAUGUACCAUAUGAAUAAGGAUCGGCUAACUCCGUUCCAGCAGCCGCGGUAAUACGGAGGAUCCGGGCGUUGUCCGGAUUUAUUGGGUUUAAAGGGAGCGUAGGUGGAUUGUUAAGUCAGUUGUGAAAGUUUGGGGCUCAACCGUAAAAGUGCAGUUGAAACUGGCAGUCUUGAGUGCAGGAGAGGUGAGCGGAAUGCGUGGUGUAGCGGUGAAAUGCUUAGAUAUCACGAAGAACUCCGAUUGCGAAGGCAGCUCACUGGACUGCAACUGACGCUGAGGCUCGAAAGUGUGGGGAUCAAACAGGAUUAGAUACCCUGGUAGUC
rnacentral:rRNA from 1 species